GUAUUAUCAAUAGUACUAAGUUUUUGAUGCUAUCGAGUUUUUUGCCGUUAGAUCUACUCUUUGAUUAUUUCUACUCGUUAGAUUAUAUUAUUCAACCAACCACCUACUCAACCCUAGAGAACUAUUAUCAGUAUAUGAUAAAAAAAAAGAUGAUAAAAAAAUAGUUUGAUACUAUUAAUCUUAAAUAAAGUAUUAUAUUAGA
rnacentral:lncRNA from 1 species